rnacentral:rRNA from 1 species
UGCGAGUCGAACGGCAGCACAGUAAGAGCUUGCUCUUAUGGGUGGCGAGUGGCGGACGGGUGAGGAAUACAUCGGAAUCUACCUUUUCGUGGGGGAUAACGUAGGGAAACUUACGCUAAUACCGCAUACGACCUUCGGGUGAAAGCAGGGGACCUUCGGGCCUUGCGCGGAUAGAUGAGCCGAUGUCGGAUUAGCUAGUUGGCGGGGUAAAGGCCCACCAAGGCGACGAUCCGUAGCUGGUCUGAGAGGAUGAUCAGCCACACUGGAACUGAGACACGGUCCAGACUCCUACGGGAGGCAGCAGUGGGGAAUAUUGGACAAUGGGCGCAAGCCUGAUCCAGCCAUACCGCGUGGGUGAAGAAGGCCUUCGGGUUGUAAAGCCCUUUUGUUGGGAAAGAAAAGCAGUCGAUUAAUACUCGGUUGUUCUGACGGUACCCAAAGAAUAAGCACCGGCUAACUUCGUGCCAGCAGCCGCGGUAAUACGAAGGGUGCAAGCGUUACUCGGAAUUACUGGGCGUAAAGCGUGCGUAGGUGGUUGUUUAAGUCUGUUGUGAAAGCCCUGGGCUCAACCUGGGAAUUGCAGUGGAUACUGGGCGACUAGAGUGUGGUAGAGGGUAGUGGAAUUCCCGGUGUAGCAGUGAAAUGCGUAGAGAUCGGGAGGAACAUCCAUGGCGAAGGCAGCUACCUGGACCAACACUGACACUGAGGCACGAAAGCGUGGGGAGCAAACAGG